AUAUUUUUAGUAUAUAAAUUAAUUACAUUUGAUUUCCAAUCAAAAAAUUCUAAUUAAAGAAAAAUAUA
rnacentral:tRNA from 1 species